CCGGGAAUGACAGCCCUGGAUUUCAGAGGCACAGAACACGCAGGGUUGCAAAGAGUAUACCACUUGUUCGAAGGGGGGGUCGUUCAUAACGUUUGAGGAACUACAAACUAGAACCCCUCUGCGACCUUUCGACUUUUUUUUAGAUAUCUUCAACUCAGAGACUAUGCCCAAGUCCCUCAGGUUAAGAAAGCCGCAGCGACACAGAUGACAUUUUUCGAAAGAAUGUACGCAAGGGAAGGUUUCCCGAGCAGUUUGAUUUCGUAUCUGUGCAACAACACAUUAGAAUGGGGAGGAAUUUCAUGCAUAGAUCAAUGGAAGGCGGACCUGGGCGAGACACUGGAGGGCACAGAGUGGCAGGAAAUGUGGGAGGCGGCCGCGCGGUCCUCUCUGUGUGUCUCGUUGCAGGAACAAUCAUAAGACUCUAUUUCAAUGGUAUGCCACACCGGUAAAAUUAUGCCGAAUGAACAAAAUCUCAACUGAUCUAUGCUGGUUGGGAUGCGGCCUGAAGGGAACAUAUAUCCAUAUGUGGUGGGAAUGCCCAGUAGCACAAGUUUAUUGGCAACAAAUUGCACAGCUGAUGCGAGACGUAUUUGAGAAAGAAGUUAAGCUAGACCCAUGGAUAUUCCUACUAGCCAGAUCUAUAGAAAAUUGGCCAAAAACUGAACAAACCCUAUUGCAUAGGGUGAAUUUGGCCACUAGGAGAGCUUUGGCAC